GACGAACGCUGGCGGCGUGCCUAAUACAUGCAAGUCGAACGCUGAAGGAGGAGCUUGCUUCUCUGGAUGAGUUGCGAACGGGUGAGUAACGCGUAGGUAACCUGCCUUGUAGCGGGGGAUAACUAUUGGAAACGAUAGCUAAUACCGCAUAAUAGUAGAUGUUGCAUGACAUUUGCUUAAAAGUUUCAAUUGCAUCACUACCAGAUGGACCUGCGUUGUAUUAGCUAGUUGGUGAGGUAACGGCUCACCAAGGCGACGAUACAUAGCCGACCUGAGAGGGUGAUCGGCCAAAAUGGGACUGAGACACGGCCCAGAAUCCUAAGGGAGGCAGCAGUAGGGAAACUUCGGCAAUGGACGGAAGUCUGACCGAGAAAAGCCGCGUGAGUGAAGAAGGUUUUCGGAUCGUAAAGCUCUGUUGUAAGAGAAGAACGAGUGUGAGAGUGGAAAGUUCACACUGUGACGGUAGCUGAACAGAAAGGGACGGCUAACUACGUG
rnacentral:rRNA from 1 species